UUAGUGGCGGACGGGUGAGUAACACGUGGGAACGUGCCUUUAGGUUCGGAAUAGCUCCUGGAAACGGGUGGUAAUGCCGAAUGUGCCCUUCGGGGGAAAGAUUUAUCGCCUUUAGAGCGGCCCGCGUCUGAUUAGCUAGUUGGUGAGGUAAUGGCUCACCAAGGCGACGAUCAGUAGCUGGUCUGAGAGGAUGACCAGCCACAUUGGGACUGAGACACGGCCCAAACUCCUACGGGAGGCAGCAGUGGGGAAUCUUGCGCAAUGGGCGAAAGCCUGACGCAGCCAUGCCGCGUGAAUGAUGAAGGUCUUAGGAUUGUAAAAUUCUUUCACCGGGGACGAUAAUGACGGUACCCGGAGAAGAAGCCCCGGCUAACUUCGUGCCAGCAGCCGCGGUAAUACGAAGGGGGCUAGCGUUGCUCGGAAUUACUGGGCGUAAAGGGCGCGUAGGCGGACAUUUAAGUCAGGGGUGAAAUCCCAGAGCUCAACUCUGGA
rnacentral:rRNA from 1 species